UACAUGGGGUGCAAACGUUGCUCGGAAUCAUUGGGCGUAAAGCGCGCGUAGGCGGUUACUUAAGUUGGAUGUGAAAGCCCUCGGCUUAACUGAGGAAGUGCAUCCAAAACUGAGUAGCUAGAGUACGAAAGAGGGUCGCGGAAUUCCCGGUGUAGAGGUGAAAUUCGUAGAUAUCAGGAGGAACACCGGUGGCGAAGGCGGGUCUCUGGGCCGAUACUGACGCUGAGGAGCGAAAGCGUGGGGAGCGAACAGG
rnacentral:rRNA from 1 species